GAAGUAUAAGGUGCUGGGACCAGUUGUCAGUAAAGGCAGUAUGAUUCAAUGAAUCAAUUAAAUCAGGAUGGAGAAGGGAAGCAAAAAGUCCAAGCCAGAUAAGUGGAACUACCCAUGAAACUGGAGGGUGUGGUGAACAAAAGCAAAAUGAUUAGUCACAAGGUCAGGAGCAAGGUGAGUCAAGGGGAGUGGUUCAGAAAGUAGACUGUGAGGAACCUUGGGAAGUGGUGAAUGGGGGUGGCUGUGUUUUAUCUCAAGCCCCACUUCUUAGUGUAAUGGGUAUGGGGCUGUCAGCUGAACAGCUCUUAUUAGGCCACAUGCAUGGAGCCCACUGGAGGCAGUUGGCUGUGCAGCAGCUGGAAGUCUCCCCUAGGACAACUUGUUCAUUUCACCCACAGCAUUGGGAAACCUGGAUGAAGAAGAAGGUGGGAGAAGACAAGGAGGCUACCAUUUUCUCUGCAGGAAAUGGUGGUUAGCUCAAAGCAGAGGAGAAUUCAGCAGUGUAGAUGAAGCUUGAGUCUUUACAAAGUACUUUCCCAUCCUUUUCUUUUGUCCUUCUCAGUGGCCCCAGGAUGAAGAAAGGUAGCUAGAUGGAGGAUGGUUCUCCUCAUUCCGCAGAUGAUGAACUUGAAACCAGUGACAGUGACUUUUUGACAGGAAAAAAAAAAGAAAAAUUCUGUGGAAGGCAGCUUCGAGAAGACAUAAUCCAUGUGUGAUUGUUUGAGAGCAAGAAGGGUUAAAAAA
rnacentral:lncRNA from 1 species